rnacentral:rRNA from 1 species
UACGGGGGGGGCAAGCGUUGUUCGGAAUUACUGGGCGUAAAGGGUUUGUAGGUGGCUUGCUAAGUCAGACGUGAAAUCCCUCAGCUUAACUGGGGAACUGCGUCUGAGACUGGCAAGCUUGAGUGCAGGAGAGGAACGCGGAAUUCCAGGUGUAGCGGUGAAAUGCGUAGAUAUCUGGAGGAACACCGGUGGCGAAGGCGGCGUUCUGGACUGUAACUGACACUGAGGCACGAAAGCGUGGGGAGCAAACAGG